GCCGCUGCGACCGCCAGCACAGAGGAAGUGACGAGGAGCCCGGGAAUGUGCACCUGUUGCUGGGGGCAGCCGCCAGCCCACCCGCCCCGCCCCCGGGACUUGAUCCUGUCUCGAGCAACUGCCAAGCCCGCCACCAACAGAUGACAGACAGCACUUCAGUUGUAUAAAUUGUCUUUAAUUGAGAAAGCAUGGAGUGGAGACCCGAUCCCCUGGGAGCAGUGCCAGGAGUUGGGUAGAGCCUGAGCAGGGAUUUGUGGGUCGGGAAGACAAACCAGUGGCAACAGAAGCUGAAAGGGGAACAGGAGUGUCAUCUGCUGUCCCCAUUCUCCCCCUUCCCACCCAGCGGCCGGCUUCCCCUCUCACUGAAGGAGCUGGUAUCCUCUGGGGUGCCCUGGAUGCUCCCAUCGGGAUUUGCCUGGAGGUAGAAACCCUGGCGGCAGAACAGUUUGGUGACGAUGCCUUUGAGCUGAGGCUCUGGAGAGAGAGACAUUCAUCUUUGAAAAUGACAUCUCUGUUCCCAGCAACAUACCUACACUUGGCAGGAUCAGAGGGAAGAAAGGAGAAUGAAAGGAAGGAAGAGGGUCCCAGGGCCCCAGCCCUCUUACCCUCCAAGCACGCUCUCUCCCACCUCUCUUUAACUCCUGGGAAAGCUGGUGUGGGUCCCUUCUGUUUCCUAUAACCAGGAGCUUUCAGUUUAAUUUA